UUUAUGAUAAAAACUAGUAAAUGCAAUUUUUUAUAAAUGAAUCCAGUUUAUGGUUCUGAUUUUUUUUAUCAGAGGCAGAGUUAUUAUUUUAGCGUUAUAUUUUUAUAACGUAUGAAAAAAAAAAAAAAAAAAAACGCGACGAGGAUUAUUGAGCAAUCAAUAAUUAUUAUUUCCAAGUUAUAACUGACUUAGCAAAGUCAUGUUAUUUAUUAAUCGAGAAACAGAAGCAGUUAUAUUUUAUUAGUGCUACUAGAAGUCGAGAAAUUAUUCCGACUGCAACGCAAAUUCAAUCUACGGAUUUAAUCUAGAUUCAUAUUACUGUAUUAGCAUCACCAAGGCAUGAGGAUAUAAUUCAUUUAUUCAUCAAUCUCAUUCUCAUACUUUACAAACUCUUAUAACCAAUUACAGUUUCACCUAUCAAUGCUAUGAAGUAGAUACAUGAAUAUGCUAGACAUAUAUGUAAGCAUACAAUCAUCAUUAUUUUUUUCCACUCCCUAAUGUCUCCUACACUAUACACGCAUAAUCUCCACUUCUCCACUCCACCAACUAUCUCCACCACCUUUUGCUUUCUUCCACUACAUUUUUUCUCACCACCCUUUCCACUCCACUAAUUCCACUACACCAAACUUUCCACCUACUCCCUUCCCCACCACACGCAAGAAUGCAUCUAACAUUCCAUUAUACAGGCAACAAUCUUUUCAUCAUCUUCAUUCUUCACUAAGGAACCGAAGAGCAGCCACGAGUUCUGCCAUAAGUACACUGCUCCGGCAGUGUUUUGCAAGGCGAUUCCAGCCAUCCAAAAGGUCCGGGCGACAGAAAGUGAAGCCGAAGAAGAAACGACUCCACGCCAGCUUUAAGAACAAUUGAGGUGGGCAAUUUCUUACGCGUAAAUAAAAUGCUAUGCAAGUGUUAUGCUUUAAAAUGCAAAUUGGAUCUUCAAGUAUGGUAUGCUUUAUUACGCUUAAAUGAGUUAAGCUUUAUUAUGAUGCACGUUAAAUGAUUACGCUUAUUUACGCUUGAAUGCUUUACGCUGAUAAGUUUAUGCUUAUGUUUGAUGCUUGCGUCUGUUGGGGGAGGCCUCCCUCAACAGUACGAUGCCGUGUCCGCUGAGGAGGGCCUUCCUCACGGCGCGAUGCCCGUGUCCGCUGAGAGAGGCCUCUCUCGCGGCGCGAUGCCAAUAUGCCAGUGUUACAGCGUCUAUUGGGGGAGGCCUCCCUCAAUAGUACGAUGCCGUGACCGCUGAGGGAGGCUUCCCCUCACGGCGCGAUGCCCGUGUUCGUUGGGGAAGGCCUUCUCCACGACACGAUGUUUGUUAAUGAAGAUUGAUGAUGAAGAAUGCCCUUAUGCUAUUUAUGAAUUUGGAAAUAUUUAAUGAGCAAAUGAUAUGAAAGAAACUCAUGCCUCUUAUGCGAUGUUGUGUUUUGUUGUUGAUGUUAUGUUAUAUGCUUGGCAACUGCCCACUAAGUACUUUUGUACUUAGCCCUUCGAUGUUUAUGAUUGUGCAGGUUGAGCUGUGAUGGGCGAUGAAGUGUUGCUGAGUGGAGUUUUUGUCGAACUUAAAGUAGGCUCAGAAAGGAUACAUGUCUUCAUACAUGUAUCACAGUUAUGCAUUUCCGCUGUAAACACUGAUUAUUUCAGUUACGCCUUCCGUUGCAAACUCUGAUAAUGUUUUAGCCAAGCCCCUAACGAUGCCUUUUCCUUUUAAGGAAUAUAACGCGUAUAGAAAUUCUUUGAGUACCCUUUUUAUGCGAACUAUGCCUUGUUCGUUUUUAAGGAAUAUUUCACGCGUA